rnacentral:lncRNA from 15 species
CUUUUACUGUGAAGUACUGCAGGAAGUGUUGAGUUUGUAUUAAUAACAAACUACAGGCUGAUCACUAAAUGUUUAAUAAGACAGAAAAUCAGUUCAUUAGAGUCCAUGAAAGCAGGAGAGUUGAAAUAAAAGGAACAAUAGUUUCAUUACAGACUGAAAGCUGAAUUCAAACAGAAAAGUAAUGAGACUUUUACUGUUCUCUGUGACCAUCUGAGCUUCUACACAGAGUCAGUGGAGUCAGUCAACAAAUCAGUUUACUAAUAAAGAAAUGUCUCCACAGAGAGAGGAAGAGGAGUCUUGUUCCUGUGGACGAGCAGCCGUCCUGCUGUGUUUUGUGUCAGGACGUCCUGAAGGAUCCAGUCUCUACCAGCUGUGGACACUGGUUCUGCAGACAGUGCAUCACCUCAUACUGGGACCAGUCUGGUUCACCAGGAGACGCCUCCUGUCCCCAGUGUGGAAAAAGACCCAGAAGAAGACCUGGACUGCAGACAGACAGCAUCUCUCCUUGAUCCGCUAGCUGCCCGCCCCCUGAAUACACUGUGAAAAAACCUGGUCUCGGUCUCGGGAGACAACACGGCUCAUAAACAUCAAACAAACACUAGGGGCACAGGCUGUGCACCAAAAUACAACAAACCAGUUCCAGCCAAUCACUGACAAGAUGGUUGGGAGAGGGGGAGAGAGAGAGAGAGUUGUGUCUGAGAGUAGCUGCAUGACUCAAUUCGAAAAAAAACAUGGGGGGGAGGGGCGAGCUUGCUCUGUUUUGUUUGGUAUUUACUUUGAACGACAACAUAACUGACGUCAUGCAGGAUCGCAUAGUGCACCUUUAAGAUCUUCAUGAAUCGUUCUGAUAGAAACUCAGAACCCAAAGGAAAUACAUUUAUAUUGAUUAUGUUUUGGUUUCAUGGUAGUGCCACCUGUCUUUGAAUUCACCAAUCAGAGCCAUCUGGUUACAUUUGGUUGUAGAUUCUGAAUGAGUUCUGUUUGAUGGGCUUUACCAUCACUGAGUGUGUGUGAGUGAAAGGUGAAUGUGCCAUGUAGUGUAAAAGUGCUUUGAGUGGUCAGAAGACUAGAAAGGCGCUAUACAAGUACAGGUUCAUGUACCAGUCCCUCCAGAAAAAUGCGAUUAUGCAUAAUCAGCCAAAGUCUGCAUAUUCAUGCGGGGCUUGCAUGAUUUCAUAAUCCCCGCAUUUUCGUUGUAAAAAAGUCACAUAUAUCUUAGCAGAAAGUUGAAAAAUGUUGCGCUUACGUCACACAAGAGCAGCCAUUUUCCCGUUGCCAUGGGAACGUUAUGAAGUGACGUAAUUACGCGACGUGAACAUCAUCGAAAAGCUGCAAACCCCGCGAUGAAGCCAUGUUGAAAGCCCGCAAAUCAGUCUCAUUUGCCAACAAAAAUAAGCGCAAAAGACCGCGCAAAGCAGUUUCCCAGUAUGUUACAUGACAGUGGGGGCAAAUUAUUUUGCACUCCAUGCAACUGCGUGUUGGACCACAGGCAGAAGUCGACACUGGACAAUCACUUUACAACAGAAGAUGUCUGUUUUGUAUAGCUACCUCUGUAAAACAGGAAGCACACAUUUUAUUUUUAUAUAUUUUAUUUAUUCAUUUUUACAGAAGUUUGACUCAUCAGUGUUUUGUAAGUUUGAGCCAUGUGUUUAUUAAGGUCUGAAAUAAAACAAGAUGAGAACUUAAAUAUUCCCAGCACUUUCUGUGCUGUAGUAUGUUUGCUUAUCAUAGGAAGUAAUAAGAAAUGACUCUUUACAUUAAGGUAGAAGCCUAGUGAGAACAGGGUGUUUGGGGAAUAAUUUUUUUUUCUCUUUUUCAUCAAACCGCAGUUUUUGCAAGUUCCCACAAUUUCAUCACAUAAAAUUGCAUAAAUAUCUCACAUAUUCCAUCGCAUUUUUUGAAAACGUGCCGCAUAAUCAAGGAUUUUUGCCCGCAACAAUCACAAAAAAACUGCAUUUUUCUGGAAGGACUGAUUUACCUGCUCUGGGGAUACAAAGGUCCAGGGUUCGAGUCCCCAGGCGGUCAGAAAUGUGGAAGCAAUCUGCUCAUUGCUGCUAUAUGUUAGAUUUUAUAUUGAUAAUGAA